ncrna:unclassified sequences RAGATH-18 RNA
CUUGUGGACUGUUAUAACAAAUGGAAGUAGAUUUUAUAUUAUUUUGAGAUAUGAUAUAAAAACAAAACCAGACAGGGUGAAGCAAGAA